rnacentral:rRNA from 1 species
GUUAAGCGACUAAGCGUACACGGUGGAUGCCCUGGCAGUCAGAGGCGAUGAAGGACGUGCUAAUCUGCGAUAAGCGUCGGUAAGGUGAUAUGAACCGUUAUAACCGGCGAUUUCCGAAUGGGGAAACCCAGUGUGAUUCGUCACACUAUCAUUAACUGAAUCCAUAGGUUAAUGAGGCGAACCGGGGGAACUGAAACAUCUAAGUACCCCGAGGAAAAGAAAUCAACCGAGAUUCCCCCAGUAGCGGCGAGCGAACGGGGAGCAGCCCAGAGCCUGAAUCAGUGUGUGUGUUAGUGGAAGCGUCUGGAAAGGCGCGCGAUACAGGGUGACAGCCCCGUACACAAAAAUGCACAUGCUGUGAGCUCGAUGAGUAGGGCGGGACACGUGGUAUCCUGUCUGAAUAUGGGGGGACCAUCCUCCAAGGCUAAAUACUCCUGACUGACCGAUAGUGAACCAGUACCGUGAGGGAAAGGCGAAAAGAACCCCGGCGAGGGGAGUGAAAAAGAACCUGAAACCGUGUACGUACAAGCAGUGGGAGCACGCUUAGGCGUGUGACUGCGUACCUUUUGUAUAAUGGGUCAGCGACUUAUAUUCUGUAGCAAGGUUAACCGAAUAGGGGAGCCGAAGGGAAACCGAGUCUUAACUGGGCGUUAAGUUGCAGGGUAUAGACCCGAAACCCGGUGAUCUAGCCAUGGGCAGGUUGAAGGUUGGGUAACACUAACUGGAGGACCGAACCGACUAA